rnacentral:rRNA from 1 species
UACGGAGGGUGCGAGCGUUGUCCGGAAUCAUUGGGCGUAAAGGGCGCGUAGGCGGCGCGGUAAGUCGGGUGUGAAAUCUCGGAGCUUAACUCCGAAACUGCAUUCGAUACUGCCGUGCUUGAGGACUGGAGAGGAGACUGGAAUUUACGGUGUAGCGGUGAAAUGCGUAGAUAUCGUAAGGAAGACCAGUGGCGAAGGCGGGUCUCUGGACAGUUCCUGACGCUGAGGCACGAAGGUCAGGGGAGCAAACGGG